rnacentral:tRNA from 1 species
CCUUCGAUAGCUCAGUUGGUAGAGCGGUGGACUGUAGAGUACAAAAGUCACAUAGUCAUCCAUAGGUCACUGGUUCAAAUCCGGUUCGAAGGA